rnacentral:rRNA from 1 species
UACGGGGGGGGCAAGCGUUGUUCGGAAUUACUGGGCGUAAAGGGCUCGUAGGCGGCCAACUAAGUCGGAUGUGAAAUCCCCAGGCUUAACCUGGGAACUGCAUCCGAUACUGGAUGGCUUGAAUCCGGGAGAGGGAUGCAGAAUUCCAGGUGUAGCGGUGAAAUGCGUAGAUAUCUGGAGGAAUACCGGUGGCGAAGGCGGCAUCCUGGACCGGCAUUGACGCUGAGGCGCGAAAGCCAGGGGAGCAAACGGG